rnacentral:rRNA from 1 species
GACGAACGCUGGCGGCGUGCUUAACACAUGCAAGUCGAACGGAAAGGCCCUGCUUUUGUGGGGUGCUCGAGUGGCGAACGGGUGAGUAACACGUGAGUAACCUGCCCUUGACUUUGGGAUAACUUCAGGAAACUGGGGCUAAUACCGGAUAGGAGCUCCUGCUGCAUGGUGGGGGUUGGAAAGUUUCGGCGGUUGGGGAUGGACUCGCGGCUUAUCAGCUUGUUGGUGGGGUAGUGGCUUACCAAGGCUUUGACGGGUAGCCGGCCUGAGAGGGUGACCGGCCACAUUGGGACUGAGAUACGGCCCAGACUCCUACGGGAGGCAGCAGUGGGGAAUAUUGCACAACGGGCGGAAGCCUGAUGCAGCAACGCCGCGUGCGGGAUGACGGCUUUCGGGUUGUAAACCGCUUUCGCCUGUGACGAAGCGUGAGUGACGGUAAUGGGUAAAGAAGCACCGGCUAACUACGUG